rnacentral:tRNA from 1 species
GGAGGGGUACUCAAGCGGUCAACGAGGGCAGACUGUAAAUCUGCUGGCUCAGCCUUCGCAGGUUCGAAUCCUGCCCCCUCCA